AAUCUGCAGCCUUGGAACUGCCCUUAGUUUAAUUAGUACUGAGGGUAUGUUUGGCUUUGCAGAAAAAGCAUCUAAUUGGGGAAGCCGAGGCAAGACUGUAAAAAGAAGCAGCAGCUCUUUGUGCAAUGUUCCUCUGACAUAUCUAAUACUGUUGCCACGGAGUUAAUGACAAGUCCAGUGUCAUUAGCCAUCUAUCAACAGUAAGAUUGAAUUUGCUGUAUGAUAUUGUUCAGCAAAUGGAGUGUUUCUGCUGAGUACUGAAAACUGCUACAUAU
rnacentral:snoRNA from 1 species